AGGCUAAGCUAGUGGGAGAAAAGUUUCAGUGCAUUCCGUUGAUGCAGACGGUGUGAAAACGGAAACAAGUAUGCCGGCUCACUGUGCUGCAUACAGUUACACACUACGUCGUACGAUUGAGACAAGGAAACUUGGAAUGACUUUUCAUCGGUUUCCCAGAGACUAUGGGUUGAGGAGGAAUUGGAAGUUUGUCGGCUUAGACCUGGUGUCAUUCCAUCAGUGUUAAACUUCCCAGCUCAUCUUGGAAGAGUACGUGCCAGAAAGACCACGACCAAGCAGCCUUGAGAUCUUAGGCAGCGUCUCCCUGAGGUCCCUCUCUAUCUCCCCACACAUCCACCAACCACUGGAACACAUCUCCAAAGUUCUGCCGGGCCAGCUCAGCUUCCCCUCAGAAGAAGUGCCGCCACCUGCCAGAUGAAGGAGCCUUUUGAGAGGCAGCUGGCAUCGUGAUUGGACUGUACUUUGGUCUGUUCCAAUCCAGCUUCAGCUCCAGAGACGGCAGGCGGGACGAGUCAACGGAGGCCUGGUGGACGAAGGCAUGCAGCUGAGUACAAUCCAGAAAACAACAGAGGAGGAGUGCAGCAGCCCAGGGCCAGAACAAACAGAGUAGCAUCGUAUGUCUCUUAGAAAACAUCAUAGUAUAGCCUUUGGUAUGAAAAAACACCAUCAUAUACAUCGUAUAUUGUACAAAUAACAAGUCAAAGGAAAGAGACAUACAUUGUAGAAUUGUAGUAAUUGUGGGCUGACUGAUUUACUGAUUAUCAGUAUUUUAUUUUUUACUGAUUUACGGUAAUAAAUACAUUUAAAAAUGG